CUCCUCUGACGUUAGCGGCGGACGGGUGAGUAACACGUGGAUAACCUACCUAUAAGACUGGGAUAACUUCGGGAAACCGGAGCUAAUACCGGAUAAUAUAUUGAACCGCAUGGUUCAAUAGUGAAAGACGGUUUUGCUGUCACUUAUAGAUGGAUCCGCGCCGCAUUAGCUAGUUGGUAAGGUAACGGCUUACCAAGGCAACGAUGCGUAGCCGACCUGAGAGGGUGAUCGGCCACACUGGAACUGAGACACGGUCCAGACUCCUACGGGAGGCAGCAGUAGGGAAUCUUCCGCAAUGGGCGAAAGCCUGACGGAGCAACGCCGCGUGAGUGAUGAAGGUCUUCGGAUCGUAAAACUCUGUUAUUAGGGAAGAACAAAUGUGUAAGUAACUAUGCACGUCUUGACGGUACCUAAUCAGAAAGCCACGGCUAACUACGUGCCAGCAGCCGCGGUAAUACGUAGGUGGCAAGCGUUAUCCGGAAUUAUUGGGCGUAAAGCGCGCGUAGGCGGUUUUUUAAGUCUGAUGUGAAAGCCCACGGCUCAACCGUGGAGGGUCAUUGGAAACUGGAAAACUUGAGUGCAGAAGAGGAAAGUGGAAUUCCAUGUGUAGCGGUGAAAUGCGCAGAGAUAUGGAGGAACACCAGUGGCGAAGGCGACUUUCUGGUCUGUAACUGACGCUGAUGUGCGAAAGCGUGGGGAUCAAACAGGAUUAGAUACCCUGGUAGUCCACGCCGUAAACGAUGAGUGCUAAGUGUUAGGGGGUUUCCGCCCCUUAGUGCUGCAGCUAACGCAUUAAGCACUCCGCCUGGGGAGUACGACCGCAAGGUGAAACUCAAAGGAAUUGACGGGGACC
rnacentral:rRNA from 1 species